AUGAACGCUAGCGGCAGGCCUAACACAUGCAAGUCGAACGGCAGCGGACCUUCGGGUGCCGGCGAGUGGCGAACGGGUGAGUAAUAUAUCGGAACGUACCUUUCAGUGGGGGAUAACGUAGCGAAAGUUACGCUAAUACCGCAUAUUCUGUGAGCAGGAAAGCAGGGGAUCGCAAGACCUUGCGCUGAUUGAGCGGCCGAUAUCAGAUUAGCUAGUUGGUGAGGUAAAGGCUCACCAAGGCGACGAUCUGUAGCGGGUCUGAGAGGAUGAUCCGCCACACUGGAACUGAGACACGGUCCAGACUCCUACGGGAGGCAGCAGUGGGGAAUUUUGGACAAUGGGCGCAAGCCUGAUCCAGCCAUGCCGCGUGAGUGAAGAAGGCCUUCGGGUUGUAAAGCUCUUUCGGCCGGGAAGAAAUCGCACAGGUUAAUACCCUGUGUGGAUGACGGUACCGGAAUAAGAAGCACCGGCUAACUACGUG
rnacentral:rRNA from 1 species